rnacentral:rRNA from 1 species
CUGGCUCAGAACGAACGCUGGCGGCAGGCCUAACACAUGCAAGUCGAGCGAGACCUUCGGGUCUAGCGGCGGACGGGUGAGUAACGCGUGGGAACGUGCCCUUUGCUACGGAAUAGCCCCGGGAAACUGGGAGUAAUACCGUAUGUGCCCUUCGGGGGAAAGAUUUAUCGGCAAAGGAUCGGCCCGCGUUGGAUUAGGUAGUUGGUGGGGUAAUGGCCUACCAAGCCGACGAUCCAUAGCUGGUUUGAGAGG